GGUGAAGCAGAGCUUGCUCUGUGGAUCAGUGGCGAACGGGUGAGUAACACGUGAGUAACCUGCCCUUGACUCUGGGAUAAGCGUUGGAAACGACGUCUAAUACCGGAUAUGACGACCGGCCGCAUGGUCUGGUUGUGGAAAGAUUUUUUGGUUGGGGAUGGACUCGCGGCCUAUCAGCUUGUUGGUGAGGUAAUGGCUCACCAAGGCGACGACGGGUAGCCGGCCUGAGAGGGUGACCGGCCACACUGGGACUGAGACACGGCCCAGACUCCUACGGGAGGCAGCAGUGGGGAAUAUUGCACAAUGGGCGCAAGCCUGAUGCAGCAACGCCGCGUGAGGGAUGACGGCCUUCGGGUUGUAAACCUCUUUUAGUAGGGAAGAAGCGAAAGUGACGGUACCUGCAGAAAAAGCACCGGCUAACUACGUGCCAGCAGCCGCGGUAAUACGUAGGGUGCAAGCGUUGUCCGGAAUUAUUGGGCGUAAAGAGCUCGUAGGCGGUUUGUCGCGUCUGCUGUGAAAACUGGAGGCUCAACCUCCAGCCUGCAGUGGGUACGGGCAGACUAGAGUGCGGUAGGGGAGAUUGGAAUUCCUGGUGUAGCGGUGGAAUGCGCAGAUAUCAGGAGGAACACCGAUGGCGAAGGCAGAUCUCUGGGCCGUAACUGACGCUGAGGAGCG
rnacentral:rRNA from 1 species